CUCCGAAGACAAACGCCAGAUUUAAAAAGAUUGAUCAAUAGAGCAAAAAAAGGUAAAAGUGAACACACUAGUCACUCUAAUAUAGAUUAUUAUGCAAAACGCAAGUAGUUUUGUGGCUGUGACAUGAAACUCGCCCUUUUUUGUUUUCCUUGCAUAUGUUUUGGUGGUGACAUUUCUUGGACUACAACAGGAGUAACUCAUUUGGG